GGUCAAACGAUCGCCAUGCCAAAAAAACCACAAACACCCAAAGGUCUCAUCUCGCAAAUGCAAGUGUGAUAACCGAGCUUUCCAUAAACAUCAUGCUCCCAGGAAAAGCCAGAGAACAACCCAAGCGUAACCUUGCAGUUCAAACCCAUAACGUACAGAAGAGGACUUGGAAGUGUGUUUUGGCCUUUACAAAUUCUUUUCAUUCUAAAGAUGGAGGAGAAGAGUGAAGCAAGUGUGUCUUUGGUAUAAUGAUUCCUGACCAGAAAACCGGAGAGGUCUUUGGGCACCCGGGAGGGGACCCUGACACCCCGUGAGCGGCUGUGCUCUUUGCUUGGCUGCGCAGAUUUGCAUAGGGGAGAUAUCUAUAGCUGCUUCUCCUCUGGCAGAUGAAAACCGACAAGUCCAUUGUCUGUAUCUGACACAAAGUAGAAGUUGCCAAUAACGGGAUGUUAUAGAAAACCUUGUCAUUUCCGAGACAGGCCGAGCCUGACUCGGGCUGAUACCUCCAGCCAAGGGCGGCCGAUACGACACCGGGAUCCGGCCACCGAGACACCGCACUAAUCAAAAGGACAUCACAGCGGCGAGACUAUUGAUCCAGCUCGCUUUGUGGUCCCCGACUGAUGUCUGACAGGAAGCGCUGCCUGCGAACCCAUCCACCACAACACGGGAAACAAAAACGUUAAAAGUGAAGCCAACAGGCAGAGCCGAGGGCGAGACUGCUGCUGGCCACCGCUCCCGGCUCGCACCCGUGGGUAGCGGAGGUCGGGGACCCACCGGCUCGUCACUCUGAUCACAGGCUCGGUCCUUACGGGCGGCAGGGCUAUAUCUACAUCCCCACAUCCUUCCAGCCCUCUGCGUCUGGCUGCUAAAACAGUUAAACCACCCAACCCGGUAUGGUUUCAGUUUAUCACAUAUCACGUACAACCCUC